rnacentral:tRNA from 1 species
CGGCCCAGACCGCCAAAGUGCAAAUUUGGAGAAGAACUUUGUUCCUGGGUCU